CUCGAUCGUCGCGCAACGAGUCGAAGCGAAACACAUGCCAGGGAAAUCUGAAAUAACAAAAACAAAGGAUAACAUAUCACGCUCGGAUUGCGCGGGAUGAAAAGGAAGGCACUGCAACGGAGUCAGACUUUAUGCAGUCGCACUAGAAACUCAAGGAGAGACACUUUCACUGCCAUGUAAACGUUCGUGCAACACGAUCGCCUGGCUGCAGUAUUGCAAUUGAUUGGGUUCGACCGAAGUCUGUUGUGUCUUACCGCAGAUUACAAAUUUCCAGUAGAAUUCAUCGGACCCAGGAAUGUAUGUACCUCUACAUUUCGUGUACCAAAAUGCUGCACUCGACUAACGCUCGCUACCAUGGACCGUUAUUCAAACUACCUAAGGCUGGCCCGGUUCACAUGCGGCAAGUUAAAAUAUCCCGCUCAAUGUAGGAAGAAGAAAAAUAUUUACAUUUUCUUCUCGCGCUACGAUUUGUGGGUACGUUCGAUUGAUUCGUUUAUUCCACAUUCGAUAUUUGGCUGAUGGAAUACGAUGGAAGGAGGUAGGUAAAGAUAAUUUUGCGAAAAACGA
rnacentral:lncRNA from 1 species